CGUUGACCUCGAAUCAGGUAGGAAUACCCGCUGAACUUAA
rnacentral:rRNA from 3 species